rnacentral:tRNA from 1 species
GCCCAGGUGGUGAAACUGGUAGACAUACUACCUUGAGGUGGUAGCGGGAGCAAUCCCUUGGAGGUUCAAGUCCUCUCCUGGGCACCA